AUAAUGGGUCAGCGACUUAUAUUCUGUAGCAAGGUUAACCGAAUAGGGGAGCCGAAGGGAAACCGAGUCUUAACUGGGCGUUAAGUUGCAGGGUAUAGACCCGAAACCCGGUGAUCUAGCCAUGGGCAGGUUGAAGGUUGGGUAACACUAACUGGAGGACCGAACCGACUAAUGUUGAAAAAUUAGCGGAUGACUUGUGGCUGGGGGUGAAAGGCCAAUCAAACCGGGAGAUAGCUGGUUCUCCCCGAAAGCUAUUUAGGUAGCGCCUCGUGAAUUCAUCUCCGGGGGUAGAGCACUGUUUCGGCAAGGGGGUCAUCCCGACUUACCAACCCGAUGCAAACUGCGAAUACCGGAGAAUGUUAUCACGGGAGACACACGGCGGGUGCUAACGUCCGUCGUGAAGAGGGAAACAACCCAGACCGCCAGCUAAGGUCCCAAAGUCAUGGUUAAGUGGGAAACGAUGUGGGAAGGCCCAGACAGCCAGGAUGUUGGCUUAGAAGCAGCCAUCAUUUAAAGAAAGCGUAAUAGCUCACUGGUCGAGUCGGCCUGCGCGGAAGAUGUAACGGGGCUAAACCAUGCACCGAAGCUGCGGCAGCGACGCUGAUGCGUUGUUGGGUAGGGGAGCGUUCUGUAAGCCUGCGAAGGUGUGCUGUGAGGCAUGCUGGAGGUAUCAGAAGUGCGAAUGCUGACAUAAGUAA
rnacentral:rRNA from 1 species